AUUCUAUAAAAGCUAUAAUCUGAAAUAUAAAGUCCAUUAGUAAGUUUUAUACCCAUCCAUACCUCAGUGCAAUUGUAAAUGUUUUGACUUUGUAUUUAUCUGCUUAUAAAAAUGGUAAAAUUUAGACAUCUUAUACAUAGAAUAAUGUCCCAAUAAACAAACUUAUAUCUUAAUAAACAAAACAACAAGGUCCAAGUCCAAACAGUCAACUGGUGCUGUGAUUAUGUACAAUUAAAUUAUUAUACCAAACUCUGUUAGAAAAUGUUUAUGCACAGGAGUUAAAUGUGCUCUAUCUGAGUCGGGUAUUGUCACCAUUUGUGGACUGAAAUAGGGCUGCUUCAUUUUAAUACAGCGGAGAUUUACGUGAAAGUACACAUUCUGGAAACUCUGGCGUCUCUCUCCUGUACUUAUCUGGCCAUUCCCUAUUCAUCUUCGUCACUAAUACUAGAUCGUACGGCUUUAUGGCAAUUGCCCUAAAAAGCAACUUUGCUUCCUUAAUUUAUUAAGAAAUCGGUCUUUAGCAAUUGACGAUUCGCCUUUAAGCUUUUUAACAACAACUGCAUGCCUCCUUUUCAUAAAUUGCGCGGUGUAUAGAUCCAUAGUACCACUGCCAAUUUCCUCCACGUUUCUUAAUGAAUUCCAGCUAAAUGUUGGCAAACCAUGUUCGAUUCGUCUUUUCUUAAUGAGCGAUGGAACUUUAAAGCUUCCCAGUUUCGACAUUUUAGUUGACAAUUAGGCACGAGCACGUGCCCGACUUUUUUAUUCAGGAUUCAAACCAUGAAUUUCGUUCGUUUAGACUUCAGACACUUACACAAUAGAUA